UGCAAGUGAGUUAAGCUAAUUAAGUGAGAACAGAGACGAAACCUAGGGGCUUAAGAAGUUAAACAGGAGCACCAUUUCCGGACGCCGCUUACAGCAUGAACGGGUAGACAUCCAGAUUUCACCAAUGCAGGGACGCAUGUUCUCAAAUGCGUAUGAGGUUGGAUUAGAUCCUCAAUAUAUCAUAACCAAUGCCCAGAAGAAUAUAAACGGGAGAAAGGACUCGGGUAGAACUUAUUGCCCCUGAAAGCCCAGAUACCGAAGAACGAAGACGUCAAACAUACCGGACAAUCGUGAACCUUACGAUGAAAAAUACGACAUUGUCUUAAAAACAUCAACACAAUUCUAUCAGAUAAAGUUUCUCCUGUUUUAUC